GAUGAACGCUAGCGGCAGGCUUAACACAUGCAAGUCGAGGGGUAUGCCGAUUUAUCGGCAGAGACCGGCGCACGGGUGCGUAACGCGUAUGCAAUCUACCUUUCACAGAGGAUAGCCCAGAGAAAUUUGGAUUAAUACCUCAUAGUAUAGCAAUUUCGCAUGAAACCACUAUUAAAGUUCCAACGGUGAAAGAUGAGCAUGCGUCCCAUUAGCUAGAUGGUAAGGUAACGGCUUACCAUGGCUACGAUGGGUAGGGUCCUGAGAGGGAGAUCCCCCCACACUGGUACUGAGACACGGACCAGACUCCUACGGGAGGCAGCAGUGAGGAAUAUUGGUCAAUGGACGCAAGUCUGAACCAGCCAUGCCGCGUGCAGGAUGACGGUCCUAUGGAUUG
rnacentral:rRNA from 1 species